AACAGGGAGCUGCUUAGCAGGACUGGUUCUCAUCUGGCUAUCAGCCUAAGGAAUUACUGGAUUUCCACUAAGCCAUCCCAGUAGUUUUGGUUAGAUGUUUUAGCUGUAGGAAAAUUACUUAGAACAGACCUAAGUUUAAAAUAUAAUCCCAAAUCUCUUGGUUGCCUAUAGUGCCAUGGCUUUUAUUUGCAUAUUUUUAGGGAUCAUGGGACUACUCCUUUUUGAAACAGCUCUGCCAGUAACUGCAGCCAAAAUCAGAUCCAAUGUCCACUAUUGUAAAAAAUUCUGGAUACUCAGCACACAGCCUCAAGAUUAGGUAGCUGUAGCUACCCUCCUCACAAUUUCUCCUGGACAAAUGAGAAUAAAGGAGGAGCUGUGCCACUCCACUGUGGUUCUCCCAGGAAAACAGCAUCCAGCACCUGUCUGUCCCUGGCAGAAGGCUGCAGCCUGCUCACUGCUUCCUCCUGGGCAGAUUUUAGGACAAGGACACAGCAUUGCUACGUUGGAGGAUUUGCUGUAAGCUGGAACUGAUACUCCCAGGGGCUGGAACAGAAAUGGAAACUCAGUGAUCGGGUGAUGUGGAAGAAAAGGAGGAAAAAAAAAAGUUGCUUCAGAUAGAAGGCAUGCAAAAGAUAGAUUAUACUAACAGAAAGAAAGAAAAAAACUUCAAUGAGACCAAGGGAACCAUUAAUAAAGCACCAUUAGCCCAUUUAUUGAGCUUUGAUAGAAGAAGAUGUAGGAAAAAGAAGUUUUUUAAAGAAACUGCCACCAAAGAACCAUGGAAAAGUUUAAUUUUGAAUAUGUGACUAUUUUUUAAUCUUAAGGACUUAGCUUCAAACUUACUUUAUGGUAUGUACAGUUAAAAUGUCUGCCUAAAUAUAAAUGUGCAUUAUACUGACUAUCCAAAGAAAGCUACCAGCUCAAAUUUUGUGGUGUAACCUAACACACCAAGAAAGGCCAAAAUUAUUUGUUCUUCAGUGGAUCUUUGUCUUUAGUGAACAUGUAGUCAGCACCAGGAAGUUGCAUUUAUCACAGAUGAAAAAUUAGGCCCUGGCAAUCUGCUCAGUAAAAUUUAAUUUAGAUUUAAUUAGUGAUGCACUGUAGUCAAGAUACAUGGCUUCAAGAAGCUGUUGUUAAAACUGAAGGGGUAAAAGUUGGCUUUGUUUAAUUGGAACUCCCACUGACAGUGACCCACAAAGUUUUGCCUUUCAGGGUGGGUGGCUGCAGCCAGCACAGGCUCAAACCAGUUCCUGUGGUAGGUGAGUGCUGCUAACAGCAAAGUGACACACAUUUGUAUUACCAACAGCCAUCCUGAGUAGCCUGUCCUCCUGAUCCUGUGUGUAAACUUGGUUUGUUACCUAAUCCAUUUGCUUUUCACAUUGAUUUCUCAUAAUUAUCUUCAGAGGACAGAAGCUGAUUAAUCUCUUUUACCACUAACUCUUUUAUUUUUGU